rnacentral:rRNA from 1 species
UGCAGUCGAGCGAUGGAUUGAGAGCUUGCUCUCAAGAAGUUAGCGGCGGACGGGUGAGUAACACGUGGGUAACCUGCCCAUAAGACUGGGAUAACUCCGGGAAACCGGGGCUAAUACCGGAUAACAUUUUGAACUGCAUGGUUCGAAAUUGAAAGGCGGCUUCGGCUGUCACUUAUGGAUGGACCCGCGUCGCAUUAGCUAGUUGGUGAGGUAACGGCUCACCAAGGCAACGAUGCGUAGCCGACCUGAGAGGGUGAUCGGCCACACUGGGACUGAGACACGGCCCAGACUCCUACGGGAGGCAGCAGUAGGGAAUCUUCCGCAAUGGACGAAAGUCUGACGGAGCAACGCCGCGUGAGUGAUGAAGGCUUUCGGGUCGUAAAACUCUGUUGUUAGGGAAGAACAAGUGCUAGUUGAAUAAGCUGGCACCUUGACGGUACCUAACCAGAAAGCCACGGCUAACUACGUGCCAGCAGCCGCGGUAAUACGUAGGUGGCAAGCGUUAUCCGGAAUUAUUGGGCGUAAAGCGCGCGCAGGUGGUUUCUUAAGUCUGAUGUGA